rnacentral:lncRNA from 1 species
AAAAUACUACGAAUUGUGCACGAGUGAGGCUAUUGAAAACAAGAAAGAAACUUCAAAGAGGCCAUUUUUUGUUUUCUGUCUUCAAAUUGGUCCAUUUUGAGAAAAUUCUUCAUAAAGCUCGUGGUAUUAAAACCCAAUAUUGCCCUUUAUGUCAGCUCCAUGAGUUUUUGCUUCUACCAGCAGCACUGCUUCUCUCUCUUCUCUCUCUCUCUCUCUCAAUAUGUAUUUGAACGCCUCCCUCGGCUCCUCCAUCACCUCCGCCACAAUCGCCGCUAUCACAAUCGCUGUGUAGGGUUUCCGGAGCUGGAUUCACUCUCUUCUCCGCUCCCCGUCUCCUUAAAGCGUUCUUUCAUCGGCUUCGUUGAUUAAUCCGCCGCCACUUCCCAAACCCCAGACCUAUCUCUCUCCCCCCCUUUUUCACUCCUUUUGCGGUUCAUUCAGAACUGAAAGUUGAGAAAAAGACCAAGCCUUUUGAUAUUAAUCAAGCGUAUCUUCAGUAGGGUUGUCAAAGGUUCGGUUCCUGUUAUGAGUUGUACUCCCAAAUCUGUUAGAUUGGGGCAAGGCUGAAAUAAUAAGAAGAAAGGGAGUCAUUUUUUAUGGCAUUGGGGGAUUUGAUGGCUUCAUCUCGGUUUUCACAGUCAUCAGCUGCUGUGUCGAACCACCUGGUCGAGUUUUCCGCAAAUGGGAAUCAUAUGGAGGAGGACGGGGAGAGGAGCUUGAACAGUAGCAAUAGCAUUGGUAAUACUAAUGCUCGGGAUUUGUCGGAGAUUGCAAGCAGUAGCUAUGCCGUGAUGACCACGNNNNNNN